CAGUCGCCGCGGUAAUACGUAGGUGGCAAGCGUUGUCCGGAAUUAUUGGGCGUAAAGGGCUCGCAGGCGGUUUCUUAAGUCUGAUGUGAGAGCCCCCGGCUCAACCGGGGAGGGUCAUUGGAAACUGGGAAACUUGAGUGCAGAAGAGGAGAGUGGAAUUCCACGUGUAGCGGUGAAAUGCGUAGAGAUGUGGAGGAACACCAGUGGCGAAGGCGACUCUCUGGUCUGUAACUGACGCUGAGGAGCGAAAGCGUGGGGAGCGAGCAGGAUUAGAUACCCCGGUAGUCCCUGUCUCUUAUAC
rnacentral:rRNA from 1 species